rnacentral:rRNA from 1 species
GAUUGUUUGAUCCUGGCUCAGGAUGAACGCUAGCGGCAGGCUUAACACAUGCAAGUCGAGGGGUAGAGGAAGCUUGCUUCCUUGAGACCGGCGCACGGGUGCGUAACGCGUAUGCAACCUACCUUUUACAGAGGGAUAGCCCAGAGAAAUUCGGAUUAAUACCUCAUGGUAUAUAUCAUUCGCAUGUUUGAUAUAUUAAAGUUCCAACGGUAAAAGAUGGGCAUGCGUCCUAUUAGCUAGAUGGUAAGGUAACGGCUUACCAUGGCAACGAUAGGUAGGGGUCCUGAGAGGGAGAUCCCCCACACUGGUACUGAGACACGGACCAGACUCCUACGGGAGGCAGCAGUGAGGAAUAUUGGACAAUGGGCGCAAGCCUGAUCCAGCCAUGCCGCGUGCAGGAAGAAGCAUCUAUGGUGUGUAAACUGCUUUUGUACGGGAAGAAACACUCCUUCGUGAAGGAGCUUGACGGUACCGUAAGAAUAAGGAUCGGCUAACUCCGUGCCAGCAGCCGCGGUAAUACGGAGGAUCCAAGCGUUAUCCGGAAUCAUUGGGUUUAAAGGGUCCGUAGGCGGUUUGGUAAGUCAGUGGUGAAAGCCCGCAGCUCAACUGUGGAACGGCCAUUGAUACUGCCAGACUUGAAUUACAAGGAAGUAACUAGAAUAUGUAGUGUAGCGGUGAAAUGCUUAGAUAUUACAUGGAAUACCAAUUGCGAAGGCAGGUUACUACUUGUGGAUUGACGCUGAUGGACGAAAGCGUGGGGAGCGAACAGGAUUAGAUACCCUGGUAGUCCACGCCGUAAACGAUGGAUACUAGCUGUUGGGGGCGACUUCAGUGGCUAAGCGAAAGUGAUAAGUUCCCAC